CAAUAGCGUAUAUUAAAGUUGUUGCAGUUAAAAAGCUCGUAGUUGGAUUUGUGGCGUACGGUGUGUUCCGGGCACUUGUUGUCUGAGUAACCUGCUGUUGCCAUCCUUGGGUGGAACCUGUGUGGCAUUAGGUUGUCGUGCAGGGGUUGCCCAUCAUUUACUGUGAAAAAAUUAGAGUGUUCAAAGCAGGCUUAUGCCGUUGAAUAUAUUAGCAUGGAAUAAUGAGAUAGGACUUUUUUGCUAUUUUGUUGGUUUGCGCAAAGAGGUAAUGAUUAAUAGGGACAGUUGGGGGUAUUCGUAUUCCAUUGUCAGAGGUGAAAUUCUUGGAUUUUUGGAAGACGAACUACUGCGAAAGCAUUUACCAAGGAUGUUUUCAUUAA
rnacentral:rRNA from 1 species